GCGGCUGUAGCUCAAUGGUAGAGUGCUACCUUCCCAAGGUAGAUGUUGUGGGUUCGAAUCCCAUCAGCCGCU
rnacentral:tRNA from 2 species